rnacentral:siRNA from 1 species
CGGCGAUACGCUCCUGGU